CUGGUUUAUCUCGCCAUAUGGGACAUGCAUGGUAUUGCUUCCUCCUGGCUGUUGGAAGCAUCCUACAAGCAAACACAAAGACCUGUUGUUGACCUCUGCUAAGGAUGUCGUCCUGGGAAGAAGAGCUGAACCACACAGGCUGAAGCACAUGGCCUUGACAGAGGUUGGGGGGCUGUAAAUCUGCAGCUGGCCCCUGCUAACCCCUCAAGGCAGGCUCUGGCUGAACCAAGCGACGGCACAGACCCUCCAAAUAGAUGGCAUUUUGCUUCUCAUCCAGCAGCGUGCCUGGAGCCAGGAUGUGGACUCGUUGUUCACUCCUGUCCUUGUGGGUCCUGGAAACACUUGGCAGCAACAAUACCAAAGCAGGGGAAGAAAAGCCAUUUUCUGGAGAUCACCAGCUCUGGAGGGGACUGGGGAAGAUCCAUUUGCUAGUGAUUUCAAAGUCCUUGCUUAAGACCUCUCUGCCACGGUACCUGUUUGAAGGGUACUAGGGGGUGUCCUGGGGGUGCCCAGUGUUCUGGGACCCUCAUCCACACAGCGCUGGAGACCUGAGGGUAGCAGAACCAUCAGCCCCCACAGGAAUGAUUCUCCUGCUUGUGGAUCAC